rnacentral:tmRNA from 1 species
GGACUUGGAUUUUUUCCGUAUUUGCCCUAUACUUAUAAGUGCCGGACUUGUUCCGGCUAUGAUGCUAAACGCGGUUGCGGAAUAAGCGUAGUGGACCCGGGGGCAGUGCCCGGCGGCUCCACCAAAGUUCGCAGUUAGCGAGUAGAACGAGCGUUACGAGAACUUUGUCCUCCGAAGCCUUGGCGUAGGGGGACAACUCGGACGGAGACAGAGCAGACAGUCCUCCUUCGCCAAGGCUUCGGAGGACGCUCAAAAUUCUCAAGCUCGCUGCGCUCACUAGCGAAUUUUGGCGGGGCCGAAACAGGAUCGACACGCGUAGUAAAGGCAGUUGAGGUAUCCGGCAUGGUAUCCGCCGUUAUCGGGCUAUUAUGAUAGUUGCCAACGAUAACUAUCCUGUGGCAGCGAACGACAACUUCGGUGGUCUUCGCGCUGUUGCCUAACGGUAACAGACACAAUGUCUAAAAUCCCUUCGGCUUUGGAAGCUUAAGGUGGGGCCCGGGCGGGGCCUAGCAACAGAACCCGCCCACU